GAACCGAAGGGCUUACAGUUGGUGACAGGAGGGGGCUAGCCGGGGUGUCUGCACGAGCGGGCGGGGCAGGGGCUGCAGAGCGGGCUGGAGAGCUGGGGGACUGGAGCAGCAGCCCGGGAAUUGGUGCUUUCUCCUCCGCCCGCAGGGCACAGGCCUUUCUCACGCAGGUCCGCAGUGUCGGUGGUGGACGGAGGUGGGGGGAGGCGCUUGGAGAAUCGACUCCGGCCUCCUGACUUCUCAACUGCAUUUAACACUUGGCAGCUCGGGAGAGACGCUCCCUCUUGCGCUGGAAGUUGAGGCCGGCCCCAGGAGCAGCCGCCGCAGCGCCCACAGUUGCUGCUGCUGCCAUUUUACCUGACUUGAAUUUUACAAGUCGCUGCUGGAGGUGGUUUAGUUUCAAAUGAUGCAAUAGUGGAAGAUCUGGAGGAGGCGGGUGAAGAUUCCUGUCCAUCUCCUUAAUGUUGGGAAACUCCUGACAACGAAUACUGUCUUUUCAAUGUAGCCCUUAAAAUAAAAGCGAAACAAAAACCAAA